rnacentral:rRNA from 1 species
GACGAACGCUGGCGGCGUGCUUAACACAUGCAAGUCGAACGGAAAGGCCCUGCUUGUGUGGGGUGCUCGAGUGGCGAACGGGUGAGUAACACGUGAGUAACCUGCCCUUGACUUUGGGAUAACUUCAGGAAACUGGGGCUAAUACCGGAUAGGAGCUCCUGCUGCAUGGUGGGGGUUGGAAAGUUUCGGCGGGUGGGGAUGGACGCGCGGCUUAUCAGCUUGUUGGUGGGGUAGUGGCUUACCAAGGCUUUGACGGGUAGCCGGCCUGAGAGGGUGACCGGCCACAUUGGGACUGAGAUACGGCCCAGACUCCUACGGGAGGCAGCAGUGGGGAAUAUUGCACAAUGGGCGGAAGCCUGAUGCAGCAACGCCGCGUGCGGGAUGACGGCCUUCGGGUUGUAAACCGCUUUCGCCUGUGACGAAGCGUGAGUGACGGUAAUGGGUAAAGAAGCACCGGCUAACUACGUG